UGAUCUAGCUUGCUAGAUUGAUGGCGAGUGGCGAACGGGUGAGUAAUACAUCGGAACGUGCCCUGUAGUGGGGGAUAACUAGUCGAAAGAUUAGCUAAUACCGCAUACGACCUGAGGGUGAAAGUGGGGGACCGCAAGGCCUCAUGCUAUAGGAGCGGCCGAUGUCUGAUUAGCUAGUUGGUGGGGUAAAGGCCCACCAAGGCGACGAUCAGUAGCUGGUCUGAGAGGACGAUCAGCCACACUGGGACUGAGACACGGCCCAGACUCCUACGGGAGGCAGCAGUGGGGAAUUUUGGACAAUGGGCGAAAGCCUGAUCCAGCAAUGCCGCGUGUGUGAAGAAGGCCUUCGGGUUGUAAAGCACUUUUGUCCGGAAAGAAAUGGCUCUGGUUAAUACCU
rnacentral:rRNA from 1 species